rnacentral:rRNA from 1 species
AUGUAUAGCGUAUUGACGGUACCGUACGAAUAAGCAUCGGCUAACUCCGUGCCAGCAGCCGCGGUAAUACGGAGGAUGCGAGCGUUAUCCGGAUUUAUUGGGUUUAAAGGGUGCGUAGGCGGCCCGGUAAGUCAGCGGUGAAAGUUUGCGGCUCAACCGUAAAAUUGCCGUUGAUACUGUCGGGCUUGAGUUCAGAUGAAGUGGGCGGAAUGAGUAGUGUAGCGGUGAAAUGCUUAGAUAUUACUCAGAACACCGAUUGCGAAGGCAGCCCACUAAACUGCGACUGACGCUGAUGCACGAAAGCGUGGGGAUCGAACAGGAUUAGAUACCCUGGUAGUCCACGCCGUAAACGAUGUUCACUCGCUGUUUGCGAUAUAUUGCAAGCGGCCAAGCGAAAGCAUUAAGUGAACCACCUGGGGAGUACGAUCGCAAGGUUGAAACUCAAAGGAAUUGACGGGGGCCCGCACAAGCGGAGGAACAUGUGGUUUAAUUCGAUGAUACGCGAGGAACCUUACCCGGGCUUAAAUGUAGGCUGCAUGAGGUGGAAACACCCUUCCCUUCGGGGCUGCCUACAAGGUGCUGCAUGGUUGUCGUCAGCUCGUGCCGUGAGGUGUCGGGUUAAGUCCCAUAACGAGCGCAACCCCUAUCGUUAGUUGCCAUCGGGUGAAGCCGGGAACUCUAGCGAGACUGCCACCGUAAGGUGAGAGGAAGGUGGGGAUGACGUCAAAUCAGCACGGCCCUUAUGUCCGGGGCUACACACGUGUUACAAUGGACGGUACAGAGGGCCGCUACCCCGCGAGGGGAUGCCAAUCUCGAAAGCCGUUCUCAGUUCGGAUCGCAGUCUGAAACCCGACUGCGUGAAGUUGGAUUCGCUAGUAAUCGCGCAUCAGCCAUGGCGCGGUGAAUACGUUCCCGGGCCUUGUACACACCGCCCGUCAAACCAUGGAAGUUGGGGGGACCUGAAGUCUGUUACCGCAAGGAGCGGCCUAGGGUAAAACCAAUGACUGGGGUUAAGUCGUAACAAGGUAGCCGUACCGGAAGGUGUGGCUG